GCCGAAGUGGCGGAAUAGGCAGACGCGCACGACUCAAACUCGUGUGGGGAAACCCGUGUGGGUUCGACUCCCACCUUCGGCA
rnacentral:tRNA from 1 species